GCCUACCCGUGGGCCUCUGCGGGUGCCCAGGAGAGCCCGGGGGUCACUGGGUGAGUCACCUGACAGCCCUGGGACUCUCUGCGGGCGGUUCGCCGGAAACGAACAGCUGAUGCUCGGCAGUUUGGCACGUCCCUUGCUAUGCAGAAAUAAGCCAAUGGAAUCCUUCCCCUAGGACACACCCGUGCUACCUGGCCAAUGGGACAGGCCCAUCUGUGACAUCAUAGAUGAUAAGCAGUUCCCGCUGGGCACCCAGACACACACUGAAUUCACCAUGCCCAGCCUGCUAUGGAUUUUCUGGCUUUGCCAUGGAACCUCUGCNGUGCGCCAAGCCGUGGUGGACGAGCAGGAGAAGGGCAGCGGGCAGACGGCUUGGGGAAACGUGGCGUUCAGCUCGGCUGCUUUUUUGAUCCUGCUGCUUGGGGUGAAAUGGUUCAGCAAAGGCCCUAGUUCAGAAGAGGAAGAAGAAACGAAGGUCACGGACUGCAACGCGCACCCGGUCUGCGCAACGUGCGCUCCUCGGCGGGGCUGCGCCGUCAUACCCAGCCUGGAGUCCCUGGGGCAAAUGGANCAGGAGUUGGUGACGCUGCUUUACAAGGUCCGCAAGCACAAGAUUGCCCUGGCGGCCGGGUGGCUUUCGGAGGAUCAGGCCGACGGAAUGGCGGAGGGCGCUCUCCCGAAUGACUUGGUCAUCUACACCAUCCAAGAAGAGACUUAGCUGUCCGCUGGCGCCCACCAAAGCCCUCGGAAUAAAGUUCUCCAAGAGCGAAUUUUGGGCCA
rnacentral:lncRNA from 1 species